GGUUAAGUGAGGGAGAACUAACCAGAAACUGAGAUCAGCAGAAGCAUUCUGCAUAACUGUUCCCAGGCCUGAGUAAUAAAGACCGAUUGAGAAUUCUUCAAAGUGAUUUACAUGCAGUUCUUAGCACAGCUGUUUGCUGGGGGUGUGUGCUCUGUGUGGGGGAUCUAUCAGCAGUCUGGCUACCUCUGUGUGAUCUUGGCUUUGCCUGGAACAGCACAUAAUAUACUGGCAUUUUGGAUCUGCAGGAGAAAACCAGAAUGUUUCCACCAUCAAAGGUCUCUUGGAGUUGAUGAAAGAAGGCUGGAACAGUCCUGGUUUUUGGACUUUCUUUUCUUAAGAGCCACAUUGAUACUUUCAGUUCUGUCCUCUUCAUGCCCAGCUGUGACAAGGUGGGAGCUGGAAGAUUCUUAUUAUUGCAUGGAGGAGCUGGGAUUUUUUCCUGGUACUGGCAGAAAUUUCUGAACCCCAGAUUUGCCAACUAAUCCAUAAAAGUGCUUUCUGGUGAAGACAGACACAUGAAUCUUACAGUGUGGUUCUUGAGAAGGCACUUUGAAAAUGGGAUUUACUGUUGAGGUGGAACACCAGAGGCUGUCACACCACUAAGCUGAGAGUAAACAGAGAAGAAAGCCCACAUGAGAAUGCCAUGAAAGUGGGUAUAAAUGAGGGAGGGAGUAAACUCUUGCAUCCAAACAGAGUUUAGCAUUUGCCUGUAACAUGCAGGUGCUUUGCCAGCAUGAAGAACAGAAAUGAGAAGUGAAAAUCUACAUCUCCAUGUUCAUCUUUCAGCAGGCUUCCAAGCAUGCACAUUUCGUUCAAAAUCACUACCAAGCUGUUUAUGAUACAUCUGUGCCAACUGCAAUGUUUUAUGUAGUCACUGAAGCCAAAUCACUGUGACCUGAUGUGACUCAGUUUUCUAAAAGGGUGCAUCUUGAGAAUUCUCAUUUUCAUCAGUUCAAAGUGAAACACUAGGAAAAGUGUUGGAAUGGAUCUGAAAACAGUGCAGCAUUCUUAUGCAGAGGCAAGACUGCCAUUCAGGCAAACACCAGAAGAAAAUCUGUCUUGGGUGUGUUUUUCAAAAUGAGUCUGAAAUGUUCG
rnacentral:lncRNA from 1 species